rnacentral:rRNA from 1 species
UGCUAAACAUAAGAGGUCCCGCCUGCCCGGUGACCCUGGGUUAAACGGCCGCGGUAUUUUAACCGUGCGAAGGUAGCGCAAUCACUUGUCCUUUAAAUGAGGACCUGUAUGAAUGGCUAGACGAGGGCUUAGCUGUCUCCUCCCCCCAGUCAAUGAAAUUGAUCUCCCCGUGCAGAAGCGGGGAUACUACCAUAAGACGAGAAGACCCUAUGGAGCUUUAGACACUAGACAGCCUACGUUAAACUUCCACUCCGAAGUGGAAAAAACAUUGUAGCUCCUGUCUCUCCUGUCUUCGGUUGGGGCGACCGCGGAGGAUAAAAAAGCCUCCAUGUGGACCGAGGCUACUAGCCUCACAACUAAGAGCUGCAGCUCCAAGCAACAGAAAUUCUGACCAGUGUGAUCCGGCAUAAUGCCGAUUAACGGAACAAGUUACCCUAGGGAUAACAGCGCAAUCCUCUCCCAGAGUCCCUAUCGACGAGGGGGUUUACGACCUCGAUGUUGGAUCAGGACAUCCUAUUGGUGCAGCCGCUAAUAAGGGUUCGUUUGUUCAACGAUUAAAGUCCU